UUUUUUUUGAAGCGUAGAGUAGGUGUGUGGCUUGUCGGGGGCAGCUACCGCGAGAUCCGAGCGGGCGGCGGUGGGACAGCGGCCGGGACAACGAGGGGGCGGGACAGCGGCCGGCGCAGUGAGGGGGCGGGGCAGCGGCAGCGAGGGGGCGGGGCAGCGGCAACGAGGGGGCGGGGCAGCGGCUGGGAGAGGGCGGUGGGAUAGCGGCCGGGGCAGCGAGGGAGAUGACGUUCUCUAGGCCGGUGGGGCUGGGCAGGGAUGUUCUGGUCGUGGCGCCGAGGUAUGGAGCGACGGAGGUUCCUACUGCUCCUCCUGCUCUAGGGAAAGGGUGCACGAUCCGGCGGGCAGUGGUAGCCUUCAAGUGUUGUUGCUGCCUACAGGUACACCUACUAGAUGAGGAUCGUCGCGGGGACAAGACAUUGUAGAAAACUGGGUAUAACUCUCUCCACAGGAAAUAAUAUCAUGAGUUGACGUUAAGGUUCUUCGUCGAUAGAUUCCGUCCACUCCUACUUACUUCCUAAACCGGUCCUUGAGUUAGUCUGGUAACCUAACUUCGACUUCCCCUGUUACGUUUCUAUACUUCCCUACCGGAAAGCAAGUCUUGGACCAGAAAACAAACUUUCCCAGAUCGAAAAUGACACCUGAUUAAUAGUACUAGAAUAAAACCUCACUACCUAAUAAUGUCUAUAAUCACCAGCUUAAGCCACCGCAGCCUACGACCGUCCAGUGCCCCAAUCUCGUUUCCUUGAACUGCGCCACAAGAUUUGAGUCCGCCAGUACCAGUAACUGAUCCACAACUUCCCGAACCACCGUUAAGAGUGCCUCGCCACCGUAGAAUACCCUUCCCUCGCCUCUUUCCCCUUACUCCACAACAGCUCACCCGCCCCAGAAAGACGUCAGCGGAAUUCAAGGUGUAGAUGUGUGGUCAGCGGUACCGAACCAUCCCGGUUCAGUUUCCAGGUUCCGAUAUCUACUCGAGAAAAAAUAGCUACAUAAAAAAAGUCAAAUCUCAAAGUAAGUCAAAACCAGCGGAUCCUCGACAAAUUCGACCCAACUUGUCUUUUGGUGUUCAAAUAUCUUAGAUUAAAAUCAAAAAAAUUCAUUAGGUCUACACGCUUCUCCUGUAAAAGAUGGUACAUACCGACUGUGUACAAAAAUGUUACACCUCAAAAUAAAUUAAAUGAGGAAAACCUAGUGGAUACGACUUAUAAUGAGGGAGGCACUUCUUUAUAUUGUUUGCGAGAAUAUAAAGAAAUGUCUCCCUCAUUUUCUAAUUUGAUCCUUCUCAAAUUCGGUCCGUUUUGACUUUAGCAUUAAGCGGUAUUAGAGAUAAGUCAAUUUACUGCUUCUCCUGGGAGAAGCUGGUACAUUUAGUUUGAGGUAUAAAUGCGUACAGUAUGGAAGAAACAUUAAAAAAAAAUGAAAAAAAUGGUCAUACAAAUGAAUGAAUAUCGGUACCAUGACUGGUCACAAAUAUGACAAUACGUGUUUAGUACCAACAACAAUGUAUUGGUGGACAAACCAAGAACUGUAUGACCAAGUAAACACAAGGCGAUUUUUCCGUCUUCAUACUAACAAUCUGUAUUGAUUUUACUUAUCACGAACCAAGUAGGGUAGAUAAAGUCCAAUGAAACCUAUGGUGUAUGUGUCGUCGUCAUUAUCAAUCCCUCACACUAAGGUAGUUUUAGUCUAUUGUCAGCGUAACAUGAAGUAUAAACGAAGGUGUUGGACUAGACAUAAUUCAAGUAGGAUCGAUAAAGUGUAAUCAAAGUCAUGGCGUAUGUGUCGUCGACACUAUUCAUCCGUCACACUAAAGCAGGUUUAGUCUCUUUUCUAACUACCAUGAAGUAUAUACGAAGGUAUUGGACUAAACUAUUUAUGAUAUCAUAGUUCCCACUCUCUUACUUCACUUCGAAGAGACGAGUCUGAGACGCACGAAGGAUUAUUUGUGGACUCAUUGGUUAACCACGUAUCGGUAUAGACAACUAGGGGACAAAAGGACCCCGGAUUGUUUAUCAUGUUCGUACAUAUCAGAUGUCAAAUUCGUUCGAGUUUGGGGACGAUGAGAGUUAAGAAAAUAAUGGAAAACCGUCGAAGUCUUAAUGGAUCGGUUGUGUAUAGUAAGUCAAUGAUAGUCACAACACAUAGAGUGGUUUUUAACUAUCUGUAUGUAUGUGUAUAUCUUAGUAUGUGACGUGAAUGUCAUGGGGCGUUUUUUUUAUGUGACGUGAAUAUCACAGAAGGAGAAACAAUAGUCAGUCGGCGCUACUUUUUUCAGUCCUAGGGUUCUUUUCACGAAGAUCUGUGAUACUACCUCUUCGAACCGGAAGGCUUGCGUCAUAUGAGUUGUGUCUUCCGUUCCUGACAACCAGAACUUGUGUCUUCUAAACGAAUUCUAGUGCAUUCGAACCCAACUACCUCACGAACAUAAAUCAAAAACAAAACUGGAACACUUUGAACGAUGGAUACCUACUUUAACACAUUAUAACUACUUUGAUACAUAUACAUGCC
rnacentral:rRNA from 1 species